UAUUGCACGCCAGCGGGGGGGAUGAGAAGCCCCGACCGGGGUUCGACAACUGGCGCAGCCAGUUGGACAGAUGACGAGCCCGCGAGGAAUCUACCCGCAGGGCGAGCAAAGCGAGUCAAUCCCCCCCUCACCGCCU
rnacentral:sRNA from 1 species